rnacentral:rRNA from 1 species
GAUUAAGUUAUUAAGGGCGCACGGUGGAUGCCUUGGCACUAGAAGCCGAAGAAGGACGUUACUAACGACGAUAUGCUUUGGGGAGCUGUAAGUAAGCGUUGAUCCAGAGAUUUCCGAAUGGGGAAACCCAACAUGAGUUAUGUCAUGUUAUCGAUAUGUGAAUACAUAGCAUAUCAGAAGGCAGACCCGGAGAACUGAAACAUCUUAGUACCCGGAGGAAGAGAAAGAAAAAUCGAUUCCCUGAGUAGCGGCGAGCGAAACGGGAAGAGCCCAAACCAACAAGCUUGCUUGUUGGGGUUGUAGGACACUCUAUACGGAGUUACAAAAGUAUAUAUUAGACGAAUCAUCUGGAAAGUUGAAUCAAAGAAGGUAAUAAUCCUGUAGUCGAAAAUAUAUACUCUCUUGAGUGGAUCCUGAGUACGACGGAGCACGUGAAAUUCCGUCGGAAUCUGGGAGGACCAUCUCCUAAGGCUAAAUACUCUCUAGUGACCGAUAGUGAACCAGUACCGUGAGGGAAAGGUGAAAAGUACCCCGGAAGGGGAGUGAAAGAGAACUUGAAACCGUGUGCUUACAAGUAGUCAGAGCCCGUUAAUGGGUGAUGGCGUGCCUUUUGUAGAAUGAACCGGCGAGUUACGAUUUGAUGCAAGGUUAAGCAGUGAAUGUGGAGCCGUAGCGAAAGCGAGUCUGAAUAGGGCGUUGAGUAUUUGGUCGUAGACCCGAAACCAGGUGAUCUACCCUUGGUCAGGUUGAAGUUCAGGUAACACUGAAUGGAGGACCGAACCGACUUACGUUGAAAAGUGAGCGGAUGAACUGAGGGUAGCGGAGAAAUUCCAAUCGAACCUGGAGAUAGCUGGUUCUCUCCGAAAUAGCUUUAGGGCUAGCCUCAAGUGAUGAUUAUUGGAGGUAGAGCACUGUUUGGACGAGGGGCCCUUCUCGGGUUACCGAAUUCAGACAAACUCCGAAUGCCAAUCAAUUUAACUUGGGAGUCAGAACAUGGGUGAUAAGGUCCGUGUUCGAAAGGGAAACAGCCCAGACCACCAGCUAAGGUCCCAAAAUAUAUGUUAAGUGGAAAAGGAUGUGGCGUUGCCCAGACAACUAGGAUGUUGGCUUAGAAGCAGCCAUCAUUUAAAGAGUGCGUAAUAGCUCACUAGUCGAGUGACACUGCGCCGAAAAUGUACCGGGGCUAAACAUAUUACCGAAGCUGUGGAUUGUCCGUAGGACAAUGGUAGGAGAGCGUUCUAAGGGCGUUGAAGCAUGAUCGCAAGGACAUGUGGAGCGCUUAGAAGUGAGAAUGCCGGUGUGAGUAGCGAAAGACGGGUGAGAAUCCCGUCCACCGAUUGACUAAGGUUUCCAGAGGAAGGCUCGUCCGCUCUGGGUUAGUCGGGUCCUAAGCUGAGGCCGACAGGCGUAGGCGAUGGAUAACAGGUUGAUAUUCCUGUACCACCUAGUAUCGUUUUAAUCGAUGGGGGGACGCAGUAGGAUAGGCGAAGCGUGCUAUUGGAUUGCACGUCCAAGCAGUAAGACUGAGUGUUAGGCAAAUCCGGCACUCGUAAGGUCAAGCUGUGAUGGGGAGAGGAAAUUGUUUCCUCGAGUCGUUGAUUUCACACUGCCAAGAAAAGCCUCUAGAUAGAUAACAGGUGCCCGUACCGCAAACCGACACAGGUAGUCAAGAUGAGAAUUCUAAGGUGAGCGAGCGAACUCUCGUUAAGGAACUCGGCAAAAUGACCCCGUAACUUCGGGAGAAGGGGUGCUCUUUAGGGUUAACGCCCAGAAGAGCCGCAGUGAAUAGGCCCAAGCGACUGUUUAUCAAAAACACAGGUCUCUGCUAAACCGUAAGGUGAUGUAUAGGGGCUGACGCCUGCCCGGUGCUGGAAGGUUAAGAGGAGUAGUUAGCUUCUGCGAAGCUACGAAUCGAAGCCCCAGUAAACGGCGGCCGUAACUAUAACGGUCCUAAGGUAGCGAAAUUCCUUGUCGGGUAAGUUCCGACCCGCACGAAAGGCGUAACGAUUUGGGCACUGUCUCAACGAGAGACUCGGUGAAAUCAUAGUACCUGUGAAGAUGCAGGUUACCCGCGACAGGACGGAAAGACCCCGUGGAGCUUUACUGUAGCCUGAUAUUGAAAUUCGGCACAGCUUGUACAGGAUAGGUAGGAGCCUUUGAAACGUGAGCGCUAGCUUACGUGGAGGCAUUGGUGGGAUACUACCCUAGCUGUGUUGGCUUUCUAACCCGCACCACUUAUCGUGGUGGGAGACAGUGUCAGGUGGGCAGUUUGACUGGGGCGGUCGCCUCCUAAAAGGUAACGGAGGCGCUCAAAGGUUCCCUCAGAAUGGUUGGAAAUCAUUCAUAGAGUGUAAAGGCAUAAGGGAGCUUGACUGCGAGACUUACAAGUCGAGCAGGGUCGAAAGACGGACUUAGUGAUCCGGUGGUUCCGCAUGGAAGGGCCAUCGCUCAACGGAUAAAAGCUACCCCGGGGAUAACAGGCUUAUCUCCCCCAAGAGUUCACAUCGACGGGGAGGUUUGGCACCUCGAUGUCGGCUCAUCGCAUCCUGGGGCUGUAGUCGGUCCCAAGGGUUGGGCUGUUCGCCCAUUAAAGCGGUACGCGAGCUGGGUUCAGAACGUCGUGAGACAGUUCGGUCCCUAUCCGUCGUGGGCGUAGGAAAUUUGAGAGGAGCUGUCCUUAGUACGAGAGGACCGGGAUGGACAUACCUCUGGUGUACCAGUUGUCGUGCCAACGGCAUAGCUGGGUAGCUAUGUAUGGACGGGAUAAGUGCUGAAAGCAUCUAAGCAUGAAGCCCCCCUCAAGAUGAGAUUUCCCAACUUCGGUUAUAAGAUCCCUCAAAGAUGAUGAGGUUAAUAGGUUCGAGGUGGAAGCGUGGUGACACGUGGAGCUGACGAAUACUAAUCGAUCGAAGACUUAAUCAA